UGGAGCAUGUGGUUUAAUUCGAAGCAACGCGAAGAACCUUACCAGGUCUUGACAUCCCGAUGCUAUUUCUAGAGAUAGAAAGUUACUUCGGUACAUCGGUGACAGGUGGUGCAUGGUUGUCGUCAGCUCGUGUCGUGAGAUGUUGGGUUAAGUCCCGCAACGGGCGCAACCCCUAUUGUUAGUUGCCAUCAUUCAGUUGGGCACUCUAGCGAGACUGCCGGUAAUAAACCGGAGGAAGGUGGGAUGACGUCAAAUCAUCAUGCCCCUUAUGACCUGGGCUACACACGUGCUACAGUGGUUGGUACAAUAGGUUGCGAAGCCGCGAGGCGGAGCCAAUCCUCAAAGCCGGCCUCAGUUCAGAUUGCAGGCUGCAACCCGCCUGCAUGAAGAUGGAGUUGCUAGUAACCGCAGGUCAGCUAUACUGCGGUGAAUACGUUCCCGGGUCUU
rnacentral:rRNA from 1 species